AAGAAUAUUGGGCAAACUUACCGAAAGGUAAGGACGCAAAGCUAUGGGUCUAAGGACAGAAUUGUCUACGACUGCCAGGUUGCCGCU
rnacentral:ncRNA from 1 species